GAGUUUGAUCAUGGCUCAGGACGAACGCUGGCGGCGUGCCUAAUACAUGCAAGUCGAACGAACUCUGGUAUUGAUUGGUGCUUGCAUCAUGAUUUACAUUUGAGUGAGUGGCGAACUGGUGAGUAACACGUGGGAAACCUGCCCAGAAGCGGGGGAUAACACCUGGAAACAGAUGCUAAUACCGCAUAACAACUUGGACCGCAUGGUCCGAGUUUGAAAGAUGGCUUCGGCUAUCACUUUUGGAUGGUCCCGCGGCGUAUUAGCUAGAUGGUGAGGUAACGGCUCACCAUGGCAAUGAUACGUAGCCGACCUGAGAGGGUAAUCGGCCACAUUGGGACUGAGACACGGCCCAAACUCCUACGGGAGGCAGCAGUAGGGAAUCUUCCACAAUGGACGAAAGUCUGAUGGAGCAACGCCGCGUGAGUGAAGAAGGGUUUCGGCUCGUAAAACUCUGUUGUUAAAGAAGAACAUAUCUGAGAGUAACUGUUCAGGUAUUGACGGUAUUUAACCAGAAAGCCACGGCUAACUACGUGCCAGCAGCCGCGGUAAUACGUAGGUGGCAAGCGUUGUCCGGAUUUAUUGGGCGUAAAGCGAGCGCAGGCGGUUUUUUAAGUCUGAUGUGAAAGCCUUCGGCUCAACCGAAGAAGUGCAUCGGAAACUGGGAAACUUGAGUGCAGAAGAGGACAGUGGAACUCCAUGUGUAGCGGUGAAAUGCGUAGAUAUAUGGAAGAACACCAGUGGCGAAGGCGGCUGUCUGGUCUGUAACUGACGCUGAGGCUCGAAAGUAUGGGUAGCAAACAGGAUUAGAUACCCCGGUAGUCCAUACCGUAAACGAUGAAUGCUAAGUGUUGGAGGGUUUCCGCCCUUCAGUGCUGCAGCUAACGCAUUAAGCAUUCCGCCUGGGGAGUACGGCCGCAAGGCUGAAACUCAAAGGAAUUGACGGGGGCCCGCACAAGCGGUGGAGCAUGUGGUUUAAUUCGAAGCUACGCGAAGAACCUUACCAGGUCUUGACAUACUAUGCAAAUCUAAGAGAUUAGACGUUCCCUUCGGGGACAUGGAUACAGGUGGUGCAUGGUUGUCGUCAGCUCGUGUCGUGAGAUGUUGGGUUAAGUCCCGCAACGAGCGCAACCCUUAUUAUCAGUUGCCAGCAUUAAGUUGGGCACUCUGGUGAGACUGCCGGUGACAAACCGGAGGAAGGUGGGGAUGACGUCAAAUCAUCAUGCCCCUUAUGACCUGGGCUACACACGUGCUACAAUGGAUGGUACAACGAGUUGCGAACUCGCGAGAGUAAGCUAAUCUCUUAAAGCCAUUCUCAGUUCGGAUUGUAGGCUGCAACUCGCCUACAUGAAGUCGGAAUCGCUAGUAAUCGCGGAUCAGCAUGCCGCGGUGAAUACGUUCCCGGGCCUUGUACACACCGCCCGUCACACCAUGAGAGUUUGUAACACCCAAAGUCGGUGGGGUAACCUUUUAGGAACCAGCCGCCUAAGGUGGGACAGAUGAUUAGGGUGAAGUCGUAACAAGGUAACC
rnacentral:rRNA from 2 species